CACAAGAGGCCCAAAUUAACAGUAAUACGGCGUAAAGAGUGGUAUCAUGCUAUCCCAACAACUAAGAUCAAAAUACAACUAAGCUGUCAUAAGCCCAAGAUGUACCUAAAGACGCCCUCAAGACGAUCUUAGCACCCCCGACUGAUUAAACUCCACGAAAGCUAGGGCACAAACUGGGAUUAGAUACCCCACUAUGCCUAGCCCUAAAUCUUGAUACUUCCACUACUAAAGUAUCCGCCUGAGAACUACGAGCACAAACGCUUAAAACUCUAAGGACUUGGCGGUGCCCCAGACCCACCUAGAGGAGCCUGUUCUAUAAUCGAUAACCCACGAUACACCCAACCGCCCCUUGCCAGAACAGCCUAUAUACCGCCGUCGCCAGCUCACCUCGCCUGAGAGCACAACAGUGAGCAUAAUAGCCCUAGCCCCGCUAAUAAGACAGGUCAAGGUAUAGCCUAUGGGGCGGAAGAAAUGGGCUACAUUUUCUAAAAUAGACAAUCCCACGAAAAGGGGCAUGAAAUCGUCCCUAGAAGGAGGAUUUAGCAGUAAAGCGGGACAAUAAUGCCCCCUUUAAGCCGGCCCUGAGGCACGUACAUACCGCCCGUCACCCUCCUCACAAGCCACGCACACCUGUAACUAAUCCCCUUCAUCAGCUGAAGAUGAGGUAAGUCGUAACAA
rnacentral:rRNA from 1 species